rnacentral:lncRNA from 1 species
CUGUGCGCUCCGGAACCGUUCACUUCAGGCGUCGGAAAAUCAUCUAAAAUUCAUCGUUAUCACAAAGUAACACUGUUGAACCCCACAACAAGCUAUUGAAGAGUGAACCUUCAUCUCCGCUUACUCUCUGUUUGCACACUUCUUCCGGAACACACGACGUGGGCAUAGUGUAACUGUACACCGCAAUGACUGGCAUGCAGCGAGAACUUCAACUCGAAACCGAAACUGAACGGGCCGCCGCACAGCAAGGCGCCACUUUUGAAUUGAGAGAUGAUGCGAUCCGCCUCGACUUUCGUCAAGAGAAAGAACGCCAAGGCCAACGGCGCGCCGGCGCUCAAAACGCCUCGCCGCUCGUCUGCGGCCGUUCAAUUGAAGAAGCCAAUUGCACUUCGUUGCCCUUUCGUUUGGAUGCGACGUCGUUCUUCGCACCACGCCAGCUCGCGACAAUGCGGCCAGCUCCGCUCUUAACCGACGCUUCUGCGAACUUCCCGUCGGCAAUGGCGCUAGCGGUUGGUGGCGGGAACGAACAAGCGGCCAGCCGUUCUUCGAACGACACCUCUGCCGCGUUUCCUAGAAAUUUCUAGGAUGGUUGAACCAGCUUCUCAGUGUCAGGCAGAAGACAUCUUCGUGCUACCUGAUACGGAUCCUAGCGGUUCAGUCACCGUUUAUCAUCAGUGUGUUGAAGAUGCAAGUAAACGCAGUUUCCUGGACGAUUCAGCUUCCCGGUAUCGCGAUGAAGAGGUUAUUCCUGACCUGCCCAUUGAGCACUUCAAAGCAACAGUCACC